GCAUGAUGUACGUAGAUCUUCUGGCCGUUUUUCUUUGCCAAUGUUUUUAUCCUGCAUAUUGAUGGAAUAUUUUGGGUGAGAAGUUGUUGUGGUCGGUUGUUCAGCAGUGAGGAUAUACCUAGGAUCAAGUAUAUUAGUCUGGUCGUUUGCAUUUGUUGGUCACGUGAUUGUUGUGCUCCCUCACACUGACAGUACAAACAACAGGUUGACUUUACUGUGAAGCUGGCUUAUGAAAGCAGAACAAAAAAUAAUUAUCCAAUACGAUGUAUGUCUCUGACGUAAGUAACUACGUGAUAGGAUUUACCACACUGCUUCUCAGAGAUCCACUGUCUACCUUCG